rnacentral:piRNA from 1 species
UGGGAUUUAAAAUCAGACGUGCUCCACCA